CGGGGGAGGCCGGAUCCUGGGUGUGUCCCAGGGCCCUGUGCUCCGGGGCCUGCGCUGUUGGAUUCGCGCUCCCGCCCCGCAGCCCCCU
rnacentral:pre_miRNA from 1 species